UUAGCUCCUCUCCCAGUUCGUUGGUCCACACUCCACUUCCCUCAGUAUUUAAGCUCUCUGGUUUUCCAUUGUUUGCCACGGGUUCCUCCUGUUUGUCUCCCGAGUCCAUGCUCUUCAUUUUCCUGCUUAUGACCUGAGUUUCUGUAUCUGGUCAAAAUAAGGAACCAGUCAUGUGGACCCAGCAGACAUCAUUUCAGAGGAGAAAUGUACCGAACUCUUCUUAUGUGCGGUCGCCUAGGCAGACAGACCCUGGGAGCGUUUGGCAGCAGAAUGCCUUUUCUCCAGCUAUGAUGAUGGUUUCUCAUUUUCCUCCUCUUGAGUUUGAGGAGGCAUAUGAGCAUCUCACCUCCAUUACAGCCUAUGUCUCAACCACCUCCACCACCGGCAAGUUUCCAGUACAGCCAGCAGCCUCAUAAAUUCCACCUUGUAACAGAGGGUGCUUGAGGAAAAUGUAUGACCAUCUGUAAAACAAAUGAAGUUGAAUCAAAACUGCACCCUGCAACUUGACAAUGAUCCAAAACAGUAGGUCCACCAAGGACUGGCUGAGAAUAAAAAAAUGAAAGCUA